CUACGGGCCGCUGCAGUGAGGAAUAUUGCGCAAUGGGGGAAACCCUGACGCAGCGACGCCGCGUGGAUGAUGAAGGCCUUCGGGUCGUAAAAUCCUGUCAGAAGGAAAGAAGUGUAUGGUAGCUAAUAUCUGCCAUACUUGACGGUACCUUCAAAGGAAGCACCGGCUAACUCCGUGCCAGCAGCCGCGGUAAUACGGAGGGUGCAAGCGUUGUUCGGAAUUACUGGGCGUAAAGCGCGCGGAGGCGGUUUUAUAAGUCAGAUGUGAAAGUCCACGGCUCAACCAUGGAAGUGCAUUUGAAACUGUAAGACUUGAGUAUUGGAGGGGGUAGUGGAAUUCCCGGUGUAGAGGUGAAAUUCGUAGAUAUCGGGAGGAAUACCGGUGGCGAAGGCGACUAUCUGGCCAAAUACUGACGCUGAGGUGCGAAAGCGUGGGGAGCAAACAGGAUUAGAUACCCGAGUAGUC
rnacentral:rRNA from 1 species